GAUGAACGCUGGCGGCGUGCCUAAUACAUGCAAGUCGAGCGAACAGACGAUGAGCUUGCUCCUCUGACGUUAGCGGCGGGCGGGUGAGUAACACGUGGAUAACCUACCUAUAAUACUGGGAUAACUUCGGGAAACCGGAGCUAAUACCGGAGAAUAUAUUGAACCGCAUGGUUCAAUAGUGAAAGACGGUUUUGCUGUCACUUAUAGAUGGAUCCGCGCCGCAUUAGCUAGUUGGUAAGUUAACCGCCUACCAAGGCAACGAGGCGUAGCCGAACUGAGAGAGUGAUAGGCCACACGAGAACUGAAACACGGUCCAGACUCCUACGGGAGGCAGCAGUAGGGAACCUUCCGCAAUGGGCGAAAGUCUUACGGAGCAACGCCGCGUGAGUGACGAAGGUCUUCGGAUCGUAAAACUCUGUUAUUAGGGAAGAACCAAUGUGUAAGUAACUAUGCACGUCUUGGCGGUACCUAAUCAGAAAGCAACGGCUAACUACGUG
rnacentral:rRNA from 1 species